rnacentral:rRNA from 1 species
UACGGAGGGUGCAAGCGUUAUCCGGAAUCAUUGGGUUUAAAGGGUCCGUAGGCGGGCUGAUAAGUCAGAGGUGAAAUCCCAUCGCUUAACGAUGGAACUGCCUUUGAUACUGGUUGACUUGAGUCAUAUGGAAGUAGAUAGAAUGUGUAGUGUAGCGGUGAAAUGCAUAGAUAUUACACAGAACACCGAUUGCGAAGGCAGCUUACUAAACUGUUACUGACGCUGAUGCACGAAAGCGUGGGUAGCGAACAGG